rnacentral:SRP_RNA from 1 species
GCUGGGCGUGGUGGUAUGUGCCUGUAGUCCCAGCUACUCGGGAGGCUGAGGCUGGAGGAUCGCUUGAGCCCAGGAGUUCUGGGCAUAGUGCGCUAUGCCGAUCGGGUGUCCACACCAAGUUUGGCAUCAAUAUGGUGACCUCCCGGGAGUGGGGGACCACCAGGUUGCCUAAGGAGGGGUGAACUGGCCCAGGUCAGAAAUGGAGCAGGUCAAAACUCCUGUGCUAUAGUAAUGGGAUCAGUAAUGGGAUCGUGCCGGUGAAUAGCCACCACACUCCAGCCUGGGCAACAUAGCAAGACCCCGUCUCU